CGCCUUGCGCCUGAAAGGGCGACGGUGUUGAGCCGGAGCGGGAAGUCAGCCGAGGUCGUAGUAGGGAUCGGGGCAGCCGAGACUGAAGGAC
rfam:Nitrospirillum amazonense Y2 contig01414, whole genome shotgun sequence.